rnacentral:rRNA from 1 species
GAUGAACGCUGGCGGCGUGCCUAAUACAUGCAAGUCGAGCGAACGGACGAGGAGCUUGCUUCUCUGACGUUAGCGGCGGACGGGUGAGUAACACGUGGAUAACCUACCUAUAAGACUGGGAUAACUUCGGGAAACCGGAGCUAAUACCGGAUAAUAUUUUGAACCGCAUGGUUCAACAGUGAAAGACGGUCUUGCUGUCACUUAUAGAUGGAUCCGCGCUGCAUUAGCUAGUUGGUAAGGUAACGGCUUACCAAGGCAACGAUGCAUAGCCGACCUGAGAGGGUGAUCGGCCACACUGGAACUGAGACACGGUCCAGACUCCUACGGGAGGCAGCAGUAGGGAAUCUUCCGCAAUGGGCGAAAGCCUGACGGAGCAACGCCGCGUGAGUGAUGAAGGUCUUCGGAUCGUAAAACUCUGUUAUUAGGGAAGAACAUAUGUGUAAGUAACUAUGCACAUCUUGACGGUACCUAAUCAGAAAGCCACGGCUAACUACGUG